rnacentral:rRNA from 1 species
UACGUAGGGUGCGAGCGUUAAUCGGAAUUACUGGGCGUAAAGCGUGCGCAGGCGGUUUUGUAAGCCAGAUGUGAAAGCCCCGGGCUUAACCUGGGAAUGGCAUUUGGGACUGCAAGGCUUGAGUGCGGCAGAGGGGGAUGGAAUUCCGCGUGUAGCAGUGAAAUGCGUAGAUAUGCGGAGGAACACCGAUGGCGAAGGCAAUCCCCUGGGCCUGCACUGACGCUCAUGCACGAAAGCGUGUGGGGCAAACAGG